rnacentral:rRNA from 1 species
UACGUAGGGUGCAAGCGUUGUCCGGAAUUAUUGGGCGUAAAGAGCUCGUAGGCGGUUUGUCGCGUCUGCUGUGAAAACUCGGGGCUUAACCCUGGGCCUGCAGUGGGUACGGGCAGACUAGAGUGCGGUAGGGGAGACUGGAAUUCCUGGUGUAGCGGUGAAAUGCGCAGAUAUCAGGAGGAACACCGGUGGCGAAGGCGGGUCUCUGGGCCGUAACUGACGCCGAGGAGCGAAAGCGUGGGGAGCGAACAGG